rnacentral:rRNA from 1 species
CCUACGGGGGGCAGCAGUGAGGCAUAUUGGUCAAUGGGCGGAAGCCUGAACCAGCCAAGUCGCGUGAGGGAAUAAGGCCCUACGGGUCGUAAACCUCUUUUGCCGGGGAGCAAGGGCGGGGACGUGUCCCGGCCCGGCGAGUAACCUGAGAACAAGCAUCGGCUAACUCCGUGCCAGCAGCCGCGGUACUACGGGGGAUGCGAGCGUUAUCCGAAUUUAUUGUGUUUAAAGGGUGCGUAGGCGGGCUUUUACGUCAGCGGUCAAAAGUCGUGGCUCAACCCCGUCGGGCUGUUGAUACUGGGGGCCUUGAGUGGGCGAGAAGAAGGCGGAAUGCGUGGUGUAGCGGUGAAAUGCAUAGAUAUCACGCAGAACCCCGAUUGCGAAGGCAGCCUUCCGGCGCCCUACUGACGCUGAGGCACGAAAGUGCGGGGAUCGAACAGGAUUAGAUACCCUUGUAGUC